rnacentral:rRNA from 1 species
UACGUAGGCAGCAAGCGUUGUUCGGAGUUACUGGGCGUAAAGGGUGUGUAGGCGGUCCUCUAAGUUUGGUGUGAAAUCUCCCGGCUCAACUGGGAGGGUGCGCCGAAAACUGGAGGGCUAGAGUACUGGAUGGGAGAGUGGAAUUCCUGGUGUAGCGGUGAAAUGCGUAGAUAUCAGGAGGAACACCUGUGGUGUAGACGGCUCUCUGGACAGCUCCUGACACUGAGGCACGAAAGCUAGGGGAGCAAACAGG